rnacentral:misc_RNA from 1 species
AAGUCGUAACAAGGUUUCCGUAGGUGAACCUGCGGAAGGAUCAUUACAAAUCCAUCCACGUCUCUUUGAGACCACGUUGAAAUGUUCCCCGGACCAGGAGGGUCUCUCUUUCCUUUCGGGCUGCCGCGACGGUCCCUCGCUCUUCCUCCUCUUUCGGGAGGGAAAGCGAGGGUCCGUCCUGGUGCGCCUGCCUGGGAGAGGUCCCGCCUGGCCUGGGCUGUGAAACUAGUGUUACUUUGUUGCCCAAAUGUAUCUUGAUUUCAAUCAAACGAAAACUUGUACAACUUAUAACAAUGGAUCUCUAGGCUCUU